AAAUGAAUGUCAGAUUGCUCAUCCAGCACUUCCUAUCUGAAUCUCAGCUUUCCAGGAUAUAGUCCAUCAUUCUGCUGUCACAACGCUGUUGGGUCCAGCUGCUAAGCCGGGAAGCCGAAACGAACCGGGACCAUCUGUGGCUGUGUUGACUCGAGCUAGCCAGAGGUCAUCUCCCGCCCGGUGCGGGACGGAACAGACACAUGUUAGAAGCCUGAUGAGAUUGU